rnacentral:lncRNA from 1 species
AGCGUGAGUUUUAAAUUUUUUCCUCUUUCCCAAAAUGUCGGUUCCUAUUAAUAUAAUUUCGAUUACAUACUAGCAAUAUCAUACAUUCAACUUUAAUGAAAUAAAUCACAGUCGUAUAAUUUUUAUUUUAUUUUUAAAUUAUUGUAAAAUAUAUUAAUUCUUAGUCAUUGGAUCUAAUCCAAUGAUUGACGAAUUAAGUAUCUGUCACUUUUUUUACCUAAAUUUUUCUCAAAUAGUACGUAUCAAAUUUCACUUUUAUAUGCUUCCCUAUCUCCUAAUAACGGCUGCCCACGUAAUAUCAUAUUUUAUCAGAAAUUUGUAUUUCUUAAAUAUUUUCUUUCUCGCACUUAAUAUCCGCCACCUACAUAAUAUCCAAUAAUGUAAUAUCUUCCGCUUAUAUAAUAUUUAAUUAUAUUUUAUUAAAAGAUGAAUAUAUAAAAAUUAUCUCAAUAGAAUAUAACAAAUAAUUUUACAAUUUAAAAUUUAAAAUUUGUAGAUAAAUAUGAUUCACAAAUUGAUAUUGAUUUGAGAUAAUUAUUAAAAUAGUUGUUGACGAGAUUUUUUUAGUAGGAAAAAAUAUUGCAUUUCAUUUAUAAAAAUUUUAGAAAAAUUCAUACUUAUCCAAAUUUCUGUCAACCGAAGGAUAUCUGCUGUUGAAUAUUUUUCAAAAACACCCCAUAAAAGAAUAUUCCAUACUCAUCAAAAAAUAAAAAUCUUUACACAACACACAUUGAAAAUAUUUAUUAUCCACUAUCUCUCAAUUAACUAACUAAAAAGAAAUUAGGUUUGAAAA